rnacentral:rRNA from 1 species
UACGUAGGGACCAAGCGUUGUUCGGAUUUACUGGGCGUAAAGGGCGCGUAGGCGGCGUGUUAAGUCAGCUGUGAAAUCUCCAAGCUUAACUUGGAACGGUCAGCUGAUACUGAUGUGCUAGAGUGCAGAAGGGGCAACCGGAAUUCUUGGUGUAGCGGUGAAAUGCGUAGAUAUCAGGAGGAACACCGGUGGUGUAGACGGCUUUCUGGACCGUAACUGACGCUGAGACACGAAAGCGUGGGGAGCAAACAGG